rnacentral:sRNA from 1 species
AUCCUCCAAAUGUACAUAUUAUUGGAAAUCUGCCUUUUAGUGUUUCAACUCCACUGAUUAUCAAGUGGCUUGAAAAUAUUUCCUGUAGAGAUGGACCUUUUGUUUAUGGCAGAACUCAGAUGACUUUGACUUUUCAAAAGGAAGUGGCAGAGAGACUUGCAGCCAAUACAGGAAGCAAACAGCGUAGUCGCCUCUCUGUUAUGGCUCAGUACCUCUGCAAUGUUCGACACAUCUUUACAAUUCCAGGACAAGCUUUUGUCCCCAAACCAGAGUCCUGCCUAUGCCUUUCGGGGCAUUUAAAAUUGCUACUAGAAAGUUCUGUGGCUUUUCAGACUACACUCAUGAAUUCGGUCCAGCUGAUUAAUCAGUGUCUACCGAAAAUAAGUGGUGUCUCUAUCUGGGAAGUUUAGCACUGAG